UUUUUUUAAUUCUUUUAAAUGUGACUUUUUCUACAUACCAAGUUGGGCACGUUACCCAAGAGCAUUAGUAGAUGCUAUUUGAAUGGAUGCCGCCUUCUCUGUUUCUGCCCUAAGUUUUCUUGAAAGCGGUGAAUGGUGACCUCACAACCUGUUCCGCUAGUGCCGUUGCAAAGUGUGCAUGAACACUCGGCACAAACAAGCAGAAAUUCUAAUUUUCCUGAGCUCCUCAACAGACAAUCACCAGCAACCAAGCUGCCUUCAUCAGCUGAGCCACGCUGACUUGUAUACCAUGUGUAGUUAGCUGGGGUCGGUAGAUGAGCUACGAGCGUGGGGUUACGCCAAUGCUUUAGACUUCAGCUUGAGCAGGGUGGAUGUCUGCGCAAGCGCAAAUCACGUGCCUUGGUUGGCACAUGGUGCGCAUGGAGUUGAGGCGUCACGAUCGCUUUUGGUUACUUCUCGGUCCUCUUAGCAAAAUUGAUCACGGAGCCUCAGAACAGUACCAGGAGGCAGGAGCUCUCUCUUUCAGGUCACUUACCGAGUUUCAGUAGGCCUGAUUUAUGACAUGAUCCUGCGUGCAUUGUUUUCUCUGUCAAAUAUUUUUCCUUUACAAAAAGAGGCAUAGUCUCAGUCUUGGCUGGAUGUUCUGGUUCCACUCGUUUCUAACUGACUGAAGUGCUCCUGCAAAGGACAGAAACAGAGACCGUGGAAGCGCGGCUUCGCUUCAGGCUUGUGAGCCUGCCCCAUCCCUUUCUCCUGUAGGGACUAGCCAGGUAACUGCGGCUUCUGAGCAAGUACAGCUUCUGCGCGGGUCAGCUGAAGAGCGUAAGAAGACAUCAUCGUAACUGUUGUUCUGAGCUGAGCUGGAAUCAGGGGGCUGACCCAGGCAUGGCUUGGCUUGUAUCCAUUUUCAUUCCUCCCUCUGUUGUUACGGCUUUCAAACGGAGACUAGAAGUGGGAUCCCCACAGGCCUGUAAAGGGUUGGCAACCAACAGGUUGUGGCUUUCUACAGUCGGAGGCUCUGAAAACUUGGCCAUAUUCAGUCAUCACGAUCCAGUGCAUAACUCCUGCUUACUUCUGCGUUCGCUGUGCACUCCAAAGAGUUUACGUAUUUCUCGAGUGGGCCAGCUCUGCAGUGAUAAGAUUACGUCUCGGGAGAAGGAUAGAAAGAAGUACUUGCAGAAGAAGCUUAGUUUGCAAGCUGAGGGCUUCACGAAGCAUUGAGCAAUAGUCGACAUGGAUGUGUGACUGUUGCAGUCAGUGUACUACCCGAACCUUUUCAGUAACAGCAGACACAUCCUAAAGACCAGAGACUCCCAGCUUUUGGGGGUAGGGACAAGCAAUAGUUCAGAAGCUGGGACGUCUAAUUUUAUCAGAGGACACAGAAACGCCGCUGCCUCACAGAGCAGUCUUGAGAGUUACUCUGCCGCUGCUGCACCCUGACGUGAUUGUAAGAAUCUGCUUCAGCUUCUCCUGCUAGUGAAUCCAGGCCUCUAAUAAGGCAGGCAGGUGGGAUCAAGGAUAACAUAACACAAACAGCUUUAAUGCUUAUCUUGAGUCACACGUUGAACAUAACCUUGUUCUUUCUUUAUUACUAGGAUGGGCUUGAGAGAGCUUUGUUGUCAGGCAUCUAGCAAAUACAGUCACGGGUGCUUUGGAAAGGGAAAUGGGUGAGAAGGUGCAAUUGAUUGUAACUAUCCUUGCAAACUAUUGCCCUUCUGGCUCUUACCACGUUUGUUCCAUGACCUGUCAGCUUCAAACUUCAUGGAGGGAAUGCAACCGUGCUGUUGAAAGACCACAUUAAUGUGGUUGCUUUAGUUUUCGUUCUGUUCAGUAGUGAUCCUGUGAGGCCUCUGCGAUGUAAUUAAGUUUUUCAGGCUCAGCUACUGCAGCAUGGUGCUGAGGGACAGCUGGUAGGAAACACUCAGGACAGAGAUUUGAAUGGGUUUAAGACAGUCAUGAGUACAGCCCAAAAGCAUUCGGUCAAGUUCAAGUGUGGCCCAUUCAACAAGUCAUUACCACAGCCCUGUCAGUGUGUGGUCACUUAACCCUGCUGUCUGGUUUCCAGAUGACUUUGUAGUGUUUACACCUAAGACACCAGGGAAGUUGCAAAGCACUGCCAGCUCGUCUCCUGCUAGAAGCUCCGUCCCCAUUUACUGCAGACGGCAGACUCCUACUCUCGUGCAGCUGUAUAGAAAUUACCUCUCUCGGAAAAUGUUCCCCAUUUACAUGGCUUUGUGCGAAUGAGUUUCUGCCUCUGUGGUCUGAGUUGGCAGGCAGACCUGAGUAAUGCCCACUCUGUGUGACUGGCCUUUGGCCAGCCAUUCAUAAAAACUCUGUUUCCUGAAUGUGUGGCCACACGUUCCUUCACCCUUACCAGCCUGCUCUGCUGGGGGCUCUAGCACAGCUGGGCACGUGCAGCAGUGAGUGAGCAGCACGAGAAAGCCGAGCUGAGGUUGGCCACUCGGUCUUGGCAUACUCCUCUCCUGCAGCGGGAGAUGGGAAUGGAGGUGGUAGUUGUGACUAUAGUAGGCAUGAUUUGAAGGCAGGGGCCCUUGGAAAGAGAACACUGAGCUCUGCGCUGAGCUAAGCUCCUCUUUCUUUAACGCUGUGCGGCCAGGGUUUCUCUCCUUCCCCGCAAACGGCCAGAUGCCUUGAGUGAGCUUGUCUGCACCGAAUCAUCUGAGUCUGGAAAACAGAUGGGAGUAGGGUUGACUUGUCACCUUGCCUUGUUUUUGUGAGAUUUAAUUGGCAGAGGUAUCUUUUAGACGGGUAAACCCCAAUUCUUCCGCUUUCACAGUCCACUCACAGGGCCUGAAAAAGGGCCAAACGCGUUUCUGUCCUUGUUGGCUGUAUUUCAACGGCUCGAGGUUUGCACGGUGCAUUGGAAGGCUGGUUUUGGUCUCAUCCUGUCUUGUCCGUGUCUCACCCCACCGCAUUGGAUGCUACAGUGUGUGCUGCUUCUCUGCCAGUCGUGAGAGCUGUGAAAGCAAAUUCCAGCUUGCUGUGAGGCAGACGACUGCAGUCAUUGUGCAGGCCACAUGUGGCAAGUCCAGGGUCUUUCUUUUUCUUGGUUUUUUCUUUUCUUCCCCAGUGCCUAGGGCUUGGUGUGCAUCUCUGCAGACAGUGUGUGCGUGCCCCUCUUCCUACCCCAGUAUGUCUGUGACUGCAGAGCCAAGCCUACACACAAGAGCUCUUUGUGCAGGCCUGGCUGAGUCACGCAAACAGAUGACCCUGAUGCCAAAAGGCGUUGCCUCUGUCCCUUUUUUCAUUUAGCUCACGUCUCAUGUACCUAUGCAGCAUGGUUGGGUUGAAUGACUUGAGGACAAAAUACAAUGAACAUCAAAUUGUUUUAUUA